rnacentral:snRNA from 1 species
GGACCUGAGGGUGAUCUGGCUGCGACGUCUGUCACCCCAUUGAUCGCCAGGGUUGAUUUGGCUGAUCUGGCUGGCUAGGCAGGUGUCCCCUUCCUCCCUCACCAGACCGUGCGUGUCCCUUCAGAAGCUGCGCGCUGGGUCGAACAGGAUGACCUUCCCUGAUAGAGGAGGACAGUUCUUCGGUCAAGGGUAUACGAGUU